GGAAUGUAGCUCAGUUGGUAGAGUGCUGGCCCCACGUGCCCAGGCCCUGGGUUCAAUCCCCAGCACCA
rnacentral:tRNA from 1 species